UACAGAGGUCUCAAGCGUUGUUCGGAUUCAUUGGGCGUAAAGGGUGCGUAGGCGGCGCGGUAAGUCGGGUGUGAAAUCUCGGAGCUUAACUCCGAAAACUGCAUUCGAUACUGCCGUGCUUGAGGACUGGAGAGGAGACUGGAAUUUACGGUGUAGCGGUGAAAUGCGUAGAUAUGUGGAGGAACACCGAUGGCGAAGGCA
rnacentral:rRNA from 1 species